UACGUAGGUGGCAAGCGUUGUCCGGAUUUACUGGGCGUAAAGAGCGCGCAGGCGGUCUUGUAAGUCGAACGUGAAAGCCCCCGGCUCAACUGGGGAGGGUCGUUCGAUACUGCUCGACUUGAAGGCAGGAGAGGGAAGUGGAAUUCCCGGUGUAGUGGUGAAAUGCGUAGAUAUCGGGAGGAACACCAGUGGCGAAGGCGACUUCCUGGCCUGUUCUUGACGCUGAGGCGCGAAAGCUAGGGGAGCGAACGGG
rnacentral:rRNA from 1 species